rnacentral:rRNA from 1 species
UCCUACGGGAGGCAGCAGUGGGGAAUAUUGCACAAUGGGCGCAAGCCUGAUCCAGCCAUGCCGCGUGUAUGAAGAAGGCCUUCGGGUUGUAAAGUACUUUCAGCGGGGAGGAAGGCGAUGCGGUUAAUAACCGCGUCGAUUGACGUUACCCGCAGAAGAAGCACCGGCUAACUCCGUGCCAGCAGCCGCGGUAAUA